rnacentral:misc_RNA from 1 species
AAAGGACAAAUGGAUCCAAAUUCAAGCCAUCUCCUAUCUAAGACAAAUUAGCUCUCAUACUCAAGCACCUAUUCAGUUCACCCACUGCACUGGAAUAUAGGGUACACUGCACCGAAUAUAGGGUACUCUGCACUCACAAAUACAUGGGUCCUACCUGAACUCAUGGAGGCACAUAUUUGUCAGAUAGAAUGAACUAUUUUCUAGUGCACCCAGUGUAUUGUAUAAUUU